rnacentral:rRNA from 1 species
CCUGACGCAGCGACGCCGCGUGAGGGAUGACGGCCUUCGGGUUGUAAACCUCUUUCGCCAGGGACGAAGCGCAAGUGACGGUACCUGGAGAAGAAGGACCGGCCAACUACGUGCCAGCAGCCGCGGUAAUACGUAGGGUCCGAGCGUUGUCCGGAAUUACUGGGCGUAAAGAGCUCGUAGGUGGUUUGUCGCGUUGUUCGUGAAAACUCACAACUCAAUUGUGGGCGUGCGGGCGAUACGGGCAGACUGGAGUACUGCAGGGGAGACUGGAAUUCCUGGUGUAGCGGUGGAAUGCGCAGAUAUCAGGAGGAACACCGGUGGCGAAGGCGGGUCUCUGGGCAGUAACUGACGCUGAGGAGCGAAAGCGUGGGGAGCGAACAGGAUUAGAUACCCUGGUAGUCCACGCCGUAAACGGUGGGUACUAGGUGUGGGUUUCCUUCCUUGGGAUCCGUGCCGUAGCUAACGCAUUAAGUACCCCGCCUGGGGAGUACGGCCGCAAGGCUAAAACUCAAAGGAAUUGACGG